rnacentral:rRNA from 1 species
AUUGAACGCUGGCGGCAGGCUUAACACAUGCAAGUCGAACGAGUGGCGGACGGGUGAGUAAUGCUUGGGAAUCUGGCUUAUGGAGGGGGAUAACGACGGGAAACUGUCGCUAAUACCGCGUACCAUAGGAUGAGCCCAAGUGGGAUUAGGUAGUUGGUGGGGUAAUGGCCUACCAAGGGGACGAUCCCUAGCUGGUCUGAGAGGAUGACCAGGCACACCGGGACUGAGAAACGGCCCGGACGCCUACGGGCGGCAGCAGUGGGGAAUAUUGCGCAAGGGGGGCAACCCUGAUGCAGCCAUGCCGCGUGAAUGAAGAAGGCCUUCGGGUUGUAAAGUUCUUUCGGGAAGGAGGCGUUAAAUACAGAAGAAGCACCGGCUAACUCCGUGCCAGCAGCCGCGGUAAUUC